GGGGGAUCUGUGAAUGUGACUACUAGACAGCUAGUGGUCCCCCAGAAAUAUAGACAGGAACUUCUUCGGAUCGCUCACGACAUCCCCUUGUCUGGGCAUCUGGGGAUGACUCGCACCCGAUACCGCUUGACCCACGCCUUUUUCUGGCCGGGUAUAUCCAAGGACGUGCGGCAGUACUGCCAGACAUGUGACAUCUGUCAGCGAGUAGGCAAGAGGGGUGACCACCACAAGGCCAAAUUAUGCCCACUGCCCAUCAUAGACGAACCAUUUAGUAGAGUGGCC